GACGAACGCUGGCGGCGUGCUUAACACAUGCAAGUCGAACGGAAAGGCCCUGCUUUUGUGUGGUGCUCGAGUGGCGAACGGGUGAGUAACACGUGAGUAACCUGCCCUUGACUUUGGGAUAACUUCAGGAAACUGGGGCUAAUACCGGAUAGGAGCUCCUGCUGCAUGGUGGGGGUUGGAAAGUUUCGGCGGUUGGGGAUGGACUCGCGGCUUAUCAGCUUGUUGGUGGGGUAGUGGCUUACCAAGGCUUUGACGGGUAGCCGGCCUGAGAGGGUGACCGGCCACAUUGGGACUAAGAUACGGCCCAGACUGCUACGGGAGGCAGCAGUGGGGAAUAUUGCACAAUGGGCGGAAGCCUGAUGCAGCAACGCCGCGUGCGGGAUGACGGCCUUCGGGUUGUAAACCGCUUUCGCCUGUGACGAAGCGUGAGUGACGGUAAUGGGUAAAGAAGCACCGGCUAACUACGUG
rnacentral:rRNA from 1 species